AUCCUUUUGCAUGUUCAUAAAGGUGAUGAUUGGGUUUUUGGGUUUUACACUAUUGUGUUAGAUUGCCUCCCUCAAACCUUGUUAUAGUGUUGGUACACUGCCUGUUUGAUG
rfam:Ictidomys tridecemlineatus contig091540, whole genome shotgun sequence.